rnacentral:rRNA from 1 species
GAUUAUGGCUCAGGAUUAACGCUGGCGGCGCACAUAAGACAUGCAAGUCGAACGGACUUAAUCGAUUCUUUUAGAUUCGAAGCGGUUAGUGGCGGACUGGUGAGUAACACGUAAGGAACCUGCCUAUUAGAGGGGAAUAACAACGAGAAAUCGUUGCUAAUACCGCAUAAGCUAGUAGUACCGCAUGGUACAGCUAGAAAAGGNGAAAUCCACUAAUAGAUGGCCUUGCGUCCGAUUAGCUAGUUGGUGGGG